rnacentral:rRNA from 1 species
UACGAAGGGAGCUAGCGUUGUUCGGAUUUAUUGGGCGUAAAGAGCUCGUAGGUGGCUUAGUAAGUCGGGUGUGAAACCUCCAGGCUCAACCUGGAGACGCCACCCGAUACUGCUAUAGCUUGAGUCCGGUAGGGGAGCGUGGAAUUCCUGGUGUAGCGGUGAAAUGCGCAGAUAUCAGGAGGAACACCAGCGGCGAAGGCGGCGCUCUGGGCCGGUACUGACACUGAGGAGCGAAAGCGUGGGGAGCAAACAGG